UUUCCGUAGGUGAACCUGCGGAAGGAUCAUUCAUAAUAAAGUGUUUUAUGGCACUUUUUAAAAAUCCAUAUCCACCUUGUGUGCAAUGUUAGAUCUCAUCAAUUUUGGCGAGAUUUUUAUACAUCAACUAAUUCUUUAACUAAUUUGUCUGAAAAAUAUUAUGAAUACUUAAUUCAAGAUACAACUUUCAACAACGGAUCUCUUGGCUCUC
rnacentral:misc_RNA from 1 species